CAGGUGAUCCACCUACCUUGGCCUCCCAAAGUGCUGAAAUUACAGGCAUGAGCCACUGCGUCCAGCCAACCCACUUCUUAGUGAUGUGAUUUUAGCCAUUUUCUUGGAAGGACUAGUAGAGAGAUGGAAAGACAUCGAGUCCUUGGUGAUGUUGUUGAAGUGCUGGAUCAGGCCUCACUUGGAGUGAGUUACCUCCAGAGUUUCUUCAUUAGGGAAUUCAACAUAUCUCUAUUGUUUAAGCCAACUAUAUUGUUGAAUUGAGCUUUCUAUUACUUAGAACCAACAAUAUCCUAACUGAUUCCAGGGUUUUCUUUACUUAUUUGUUGAGUCAUCAGAUGCUGGCUACUUACUACAUGCCAAGCAUUUUCAGGUGCUGGUGUUAUUAACAGUAGCAAACAAGAUGCCCGAAAGCCCUGUCCUCCUGGAGCAUGCAUUCCAGUGGGCAAGAUGAAUGCUAAUAUUAGCAAACAGAGCUGUGGAAGAUGAGUGUUGGAGGACUAGAGGGUGGAAAGAGGUGCUAUUUUAGAUAGAGGGGUUAAAGAAAACCUCUUUGAGAAAAACGUUAAUGGACCUCACAGAAGGGGAGGACGCCAGCUGGGUGUAUAUUUUGGGAAGAAGGACGUUCCAGGUAGAAAAACCCAGGAAAUUCAAAGGCCCCGAGGCACGCUUGGUGUGCUGGAGGAGCAGAGAGGAGUGAACUAGACCAGACUGGACAGGGUGGGAGGGAAGGAGACCAAGACAAGGUCAGGUGGGACUGGGAGGCCGUGGGAAGGACUUGAAUUUGAUGCUGAUGAGAUGUGCGGCAGUGAGAGCAUGGUGAGCUGAGGCGAUGUGAUCUACCAUGGUAAGAGGGUCCCUCUGGCUCCCACAUGGCUACUAGGGUAGAAGCAGGACGCCAGUGAGAAGGCCACUGUGUAGUCCAGCAGAGAUGAUGGUGGCUUGGCCAGGGUGCUAACGGGGAGGUGGGGAGAUGUGGUCAGAUUUUGCAUAUAAUUUGAAGGGAGAAUCAGGUGUGUGGGGUGAGAAAGAAGAGUCAAGGACCAUGCUAUGGCGUUUAGCCUGCAGAGAGGAAGGAGGGAGCGCCGUAAACUGUAUGGAGAAGACUGGGAGAGAGUGUGGGCAUGUUUAGCCUUCGAGUGGACUCACUGGCCAAGCAGGAGCUUCUACGAGACUGGCAUUGAAGGGUGAGAUCUGGGCUGGGAGUAGUUGGCAUGUUUAUGCUAUUAAAACCCAGGAUGGGAUCACUAAGGAAGGGUGUAUAGAUGGAAGUGUGGUCUCACAGUGAGAGCAGGGAGGCCCAUGAGGAGGUUGCUGCAGUAAUCUAGGUGAGAUGACAGUGGCCUGUCCCAGGGCAGGGGCAGGAAUGAGUCGUCAUUGGAGUCUGGGUGCAUUUUGAAGGCAGGACUCACUGUAAUUUGUUGUGGGUGGUGAUGGCAAGAGCUGGACAGGGGCCUCAUGAGAACAGAAGAGAAGCAGAAGUGGGACAGCGGCUUGCCAUUCUUCCUUCCACUGGGCCCUGUGGUCUCUGCUUCUCUUUGCAUUGGCUGCUUCCUGUUCUCAGGCAGCUGGGUUGACCCUGGGUGGACUCUUGCCCCCGCUCUAUGUGACCUUCCAGCUCAGUUACCCACAGCCCCUCAGUCUUCAUUCCAAAUUUCCCAGAUGGGAAUGGGAUUUCCAGAGUUGGGUAUCCAACCCUGCUCAAGUCACUGUCGCUGGAGGGUUCCUACAGUGAUGACUGUCUGCUGGCAAGGGCUGUGGACUGGGCAGGCACCCCAGACAUUCACAGUGACCAUGUGUUUCUGACACUUGGUGUACAGGGGGGACAUGUAGGCGAGUGGGUGUGGCAGGGGUUGGAGAUGGUUUGACCCUCUUUUGGUAGAUGGAUGGGACAGACCAUUUAUAUUGCUUCAGAUGUGUCCUGGAUGGGCAAACAGGAAGAAGGAUACCAGGAAGGUGGAUCUGGCGGACCUUGGGCUGUGAAGGGUUAAGGGUCAGCUUGGGAGGAUUCAGGUACAGCUUCUGCCUGUUCAAGGGUAUUCCCAGAGGAGUCAGGGAGACACGCAUUACUCCAGACUCGAGAGAGACACAGCGAUGGCUGAGACAGCCUCCACCUUGCCCUCGCAAAGCUCACAGUCCAGUGGGGAAGACAACCCCAACAGCAGACAGUGACCAGGGCUGGGAUGGGGAGGCAGAGGGGUUGGGGCCAGGAUAGGCGAGCCACAGCGGGGCGGUGGGAGCCAGAGGCAGCUCCUGACCCAGUCUGCAGUGUCAGGUGGGACUCUCUGGUGUGGGGAGCACGUAAGAUGAGAUCUGAAGGAAUUUGUCAAACAAAGGGCGCUUCGGAACUCCGCUGGGGACCACCUCGAGCCAUAUGGCAGAGGAGACUUAAAGUUUUGUGAACGUUUUAAAAUUUAACAAUUUUAGAUUUACAGACAAGUUGCAAAGAUGAUACAGGGACUUCGCCUAUACCUACACCCAACUUCCCCCUAGUGUUAGCAUCUUACAUAAUUAUUGUAUAUUUGUCAAAACUGAGAAAUUAACAUGGAUUAGUAUUCCGUUAAACUCCAGACUUGAAUCCUGUUUCUCCUGUUUUUCCACUAAUGUUCUUUUUCUGUUCCAGGAUCCGAUCCAGGAUGCCGUGUUGCAUUUAUUGGUCAUUUCUCGUUGGCCUCCUCCAAUCUGUGACAGUUUCUUAGUCCUUCCUUGUUUUUCAUGACCUUGACAGUUUUGAGGAGUACUGAAGCAAGUCACUAAAUCCAGCCUACACUCAAAGGAGAGCUAAGCUCUGAUUCCUGGAGGGAAAUAGGAAGAUAUUUGGAGGCUGCACAGGGAUCGGAGACCUGCUGUCACAAGCCAAGGAACACAUGGAGCCUCCAGAAACUGGAAGAGGCAAGGAAGGAUCCUCUCCUAGAGCCUUUAGAGGGGGUGAAGCCCUGCCAACGCCUUGGUUCCUGACUUCCACCCUCCCCUCCAGAUCUGCAAGACAAUAAAUUUCUGUUAUUUAAACCACC